CUCAUAUUGUCUAAAUGGGGGGGGCAGACACACAAGGUCAAAUGUUGAUGGAAGGAGCUAGUCUUGGAGAGGCUGAAUAAACAGGAGAGAGAGAAUCCCCUAUCAAGAUGGGAGGAAAAAUGUAAGGUAUAGCAAAUUCUGUUGAUAGCCCACCCAACAGUUUUCCUCUUCUUUGCCUUCCUUUUUUUUUCCUUUUGAGACAGGGUCUCACUGUGUGUGUAGUUCAGGCUGGACAGCUCACAGCGAUCCUCCUGCCUCAGCCUCCUGAGUGCUGGGAUUACAACAUGUGCCACCACACCUGGCUAUGCCCGCCAUUAUUUCUUGCUAGCUGUACCAAGUAUCUGGAGUCUCCGUCCCUGCUGUUUGCAUGCAGCUGUGAUCAGACAGGAAUAUGUGCACCAACAAUGUUGCCCAGUCUUUCACCAACCUCCUCAGUACCAGCUUCCAUCUAAAAAAUUGAGAGACAGUUGAGCAGUUUCACAGCAGCAUAAUCUGGCAUGGAGCAAAUUAGGCUAAAGGCAAGUUGCAGCUGGCAGACUCCACCUUUUAAGAUUUUCCAGCAGGGUGACUCUGGAUGACCAAUGUUCGGGAAGAUAUCUAGGAAUCAUCUGAGCUAACGUGGUCAACUGUUGUGAAAUAUAUAAGAUAAAAACAAAUUGUCUAACCAAACAAUAAUGUACUAUGAUAGUUGCUGAUUAUAAAGGUGUUUUUCAUGAAAACAAAGACAAAAUAGGCCUGUAUUUGUAAACAUUUAUUCUCUUGAACUGAAAAAGGCUUGCAUCAGUACACAUUGUACAGCCUUGCAAAUUACACAGAAAUUGAAAAGAAGGUUCCUUGUUCGUAAGUGCAAUGAAUCUCUGAUGUCCAGUAAUCUGCAAACAAUGGAAACAAAUUUUAAACCACUUAAGAAGUCUCCAGCACUCAUGGAAUAUAUUUCCAUAGGUGACAAGAAAUCCACAAGGAGGGGAAUUCAAAUAAGUGGCAACUGGUUAUUGGAGGGACACUUAAAAAAAAAAAAAAGGAAGAGAAUUUUCAUGUCAUUGAACUGAGCAAUGUAUCCCAUAUUACAAAAUUACAAGCUGCUAAUACAGUUUAUCCGUAAAUGAAUAAAAAUCAGGUUUCAGAAUUAGGAAACUGAGUUCUAGGCCUCUACUAAAUCCCUGCAAAAGACAUACAGACAAUUCAAAGAACAUAGAUGUGGUAAAGUGCUAUGCUCUUGUAUCACUUAAAUGUUUAGAAAAGAAAAAAGCAGAAAGUCAGUAUUUAAAUAUCACUCUCUAUUUUUAUUUUUUGACAUGCUGGGGACUAAAUCCAGUAUCUUGCAGAUGCUAGAUGAGUACCCUCCUACUGAGCAAUACUGCCAGCGCUGACUUUAAUUCUUUCCUUAAAAGAAUCAAUAUAAUACAAUAUAAUAUAAUAUAAUAUAAUAUAUCUAUAUAUCUGAAAGGAAUCAGCUUUGUAGUUUCAAAAAUUUCUC
rnacentral:lncRNA from 1 species